AGAGUUUGAUCCUGGCUCAGGAUGAACGCUAGCGGCAGGCUUAACACAUGCAAGUCGAGGGGUAACAGGGAAAAGCUUGCUUUUUUGCUGACGACCGGCGAACGGGUGCGUAACGCGUAUAGAAUCUGCCUUGUACAGGAGGAUAGCCUUUAGAAAUGAAGAUUAAUACUCCAUAAUGUUGAGAGAUGGCAUCAUCUUUUAAUUAAAGAUUUAUCGGUACAAGAUGACUAUGCGUCCUAUUAGCUAGAUGGUAAGGUAACGGCUUACCAUGGCAACGAUAGGUAGGGGGUCUGAGAGGAUUAUCCCCCACACUGGUACUGAGACACGGACCAGACUCCUACGGGAGGCAGCAGUGAGGAAUAUUGGUCAAUGGAGGCAACUCUGAACCAGCCAUGCCGCGUGCAGGAAGACUGCCCUAUGGGUUGUAAACUGCUUUUAUACAGGAAGAAACUUAGUUACGUGUAACUAACUGACGGUACUGUAAGAAUAAGCACCGGCUAACUCCGUGCCAGCAGCCGCGGUAAUAC
rnacentral:rRNA from 1 species